CGAGCGCACGUGUCUCUCCGCGCGCCGGGCCCGGCCGGGACAGAGCCAUGGGGGAGGAGCCGGACGCCUGGGUUCCCGGAGCGGGGGGGGGGCGCUUCACUCCCGGCGGGUGACUCAGGCAGUGGUGAUGUGCAGCGCUGGAGCUGAGGACUCUGGGGCAUCUGGCUGGAUUCUCGCCCCAUGUCUAGCUCUGAGCUGAGCCCAGCGUGGUGAGACCCCCGGGGUCUCUGGCCGGAGAGCCCAUGGCCAGCACAGCGCAGUGGCAGGGCAGUGGUGAUGUGCAGCGCUGGAGCUGAGGACUCUGGGGCAUCUGGCUGGAUUCUCGCCCCAUGUCUAGCUCUGAGCUGAGCCCAGCAUGGUGAGACCCCCGGGGUCUCUGGCCGGAGAGCCCAUGGCCAGCACAGCGCAGCGGCAGGGCACUGUGACACUCGGCCUCAGCCCAGGAGCCUCCCAGCUAUCUGGCAGUUUUCGGCGGUGCCGGGUGGAUGCUGCUGUCGGUUACCGAGAGGAGAGUCCAGAGCCCUGCGCGGGGGGGGAGGGGACAGGCUGCGGGACGGGGACUGAAAGGAGAAGGGGG